UGGUGAUUUAAGCAGUUCACCAUUGUCUCAAGCUCUGUGGUUGCAUCUAUGUGUGACGAGCAUGGAGACCAAUAACAGAUGCUUGUGCUGAUUUCAGCUCCUGCCGUAAUGAAGAUCAUAGUGUUCCCUUUGAGUAUGGAAAAAGACGAAGAAUGAACUCACAAGAGAUGAUUCAGUGUCUUCCGUGGGCAUGAAUUCUGUGGUUGCCUCUAUAUAAUAGGAG